UUUGCCUCACUCUUCUCCUUUGACUGAGUCAUUUUUUUAACCUUUUGGCAUUUUAUUUGAUUUCAAAAUUUCUAAUUUAGUUUCUAUAAUGGCAUCUCCAUGGACACCAAGGCAAAACAUGUAACUCGAACAGGCUUUAGCUGCUUACAACCGGGACAGUCCUAACAGAUGGCAGAACAUUGCUAGGGCUGUGGAGGGAAAAUCAGUUGAGGAGGUGAAGAGGCAUUAUGAUACCCUUGGCUUCUAAGAAUCUAAAGAUACAAUGAAGCUAUGGGCAACUACAACAACAGUUACAAGGUUCAUGAAGGAAUAGCAAAAGGGAUAUAUAGGAAGAAAAUAAGAGGUGGCACUAUAUGUGCAAUGUGCUUGUGUGCAUUAUAUGUUUUUUUCCUGGCUUAGUUAUAUUUAAAUUUGCAAAAAAUGAAUGACUAGUAUUGUGUGGUUUUAUCUACA
rnacentral:lncRNA from 1 species